rnacentral:ribozyme from 1 species
UGCCGAGCAACUCCUAUCCCUACCUCCACGCGGUACCGGCCGGAAACUAUGAGCAACCUUAGGGAAGG